AUUAAAAUGAGUGCAUACGGGUCAUUCAACAAGUCUCAUGUCUGCUAGGAGCAAGACAGUGGAGCCCAUUGGACGUUCACAGUAAUAAUCACAACCAUAUUUUACAACUGAAAAUGUGUGUUGCUAUAACAACGCAUGCAAAUAAAACAUUUCAACGGUCACAUGUCUCUGUGUUACAGUGUGUCUAGUCCAGGUGUGUCUAGUCCAGGUGUGUCUAGUCCAGGUGUGUCUCUGUGUUACAGUGUGUCUAGUCCAGGUGUGUCUAGUCCAGGUGUGUCUAGUCCAGGUGUGUCCAGUCCAGGUGUGUCUCUGUGUUACAGUGUGUCUAGUCCAGGUGUGUCUCUGUGUUACAGUGUGUCUAGUCCAGGUGUGUCUAGUCCAGGUGUGUCUCUGUGUUACAGUGUCUAGUCCAGGUGUGUCUCUGUGUUACAGUGUGUCUAGUCCAGGUGUGUCUAGUCCAGGUGUGUCCAGUCCAGGUGUGUCUCUGUGUUACAGGUGUGUCUAGUCCAGGUGUGUCUAGUCCAGGUGUGUCUCUGUGUUACAGUGUGUCUAGUCCAGGUGUGUCUAGUCCAGGUGUGUCUCUGUGUUACAGUGUGUCUACUCCAGGUAUGUCUAGUCCAGGUGUGUCUAGUCCAGGUAUGUCUAGUCCAGGUGUGUCUAGUCCAGGUAUGUCUAGUCAAGGUGUGUCUAGUCAAGGUGUGUCUAGUCAAGGUGUGUCUAGUCAAGGUGUGUCUAGUCAAGGUGUGUCUAGUCCAGGUGUGUGUCUAGUCCAGGUGUGUUUCUGUGUGACAGUGUGUCUAGUACAGGUGAGUUUAGUCCAGGUGUGUCCAGUCCAGGUGUGUGAAGAUAAAACUUGUUGUAGACGACCCCUCU